rnacentral:rRNA from 1 species
AGUGAACGCUGGCGGUAGGCCUAACACAUGCAAGUCGAACGGCAGCACAGUAAGAGCUUGCUCUUACGGGUGGCGAGUGGCGGACGGGUGAGGAAUACAUCGGAAUCUACUUUUUCGUGGGGGAUAACGUAGGGAAACUUACGCUAAUACCGCAUACGACCUACGGGUGAAAGCAGGGGAUCUUCGGAACUUGCGCGAUUGAAUGAGCCGAUGUCGGAUUAGCUAGUUGGCGGGGUAAAGGCCCACCAAGGCGACGAUCCGUAGCUGGUCUGAGAGGAUGAUCAGCCACACUGGAACUGAGACACGGUCCAGACUCCUACGGGAGGAAGCAGUGGGGAAUAUUGGACAAUGGGCGAAAGCCUGAUCCAGCAAUACCGCGUGGGUGAAGAAGGCCUUCGGGUUGUAAAGCCCUUUUGUUGGGAAAGAAAAGCAGCAGGUUAAUACCCCGCUGUUCUGACGGUACCCAAAGAAUAAGCACCGGCUAACUUCGUG